GGGCAUUUGGUCUAGUGGUAUGAUUCUCGCUUUGGGUGCGAGAGGUCGUGAGUUCGAUUCUCGCAAUGCCCC
rfam:Selaginella moellendorffii unplaced genomic scaffold SELMOscaffold_19, whole genome shotgun sequence.